UUCGAACUGGGCAAAGAAAAAUUGAAUGGCCCAAUUGCCUUAAUUCCUCCCCAAACCCUUUCCCAAACCCGAUCCAUAAAAUCCGAUCCAUCACCUACAAUAAAUCCCCUCAGAAGAACAUUCACCCCCUCAUCUGAAAGAAAAACCCUAGUCGCCCCUAAUCCUUUCAUCCUCUCAAGUCAGCUUCCCCAUCUCUCACCUCACUCUCACCUUUAUUCAUUCUCCUCUCCUCACUCCCACAGAUAUCUCUCAUAAAACAAAGAUAAAAAAAGGGGUUCUGGAUUUUUUUUAAAAAAAACCAAAAAUUCUCAUAAACAAAAAAAAAAAAUCAAAAAAGGGGAAUUCGAAGUUGGUUUCCAGUUCCUACUCAAUUGGUGCUUGUUUUUCUGGGUUUGGGAAGAUGUUGAGCUUGAAGAGCUGUUGUUUACUGCUUGGAUUUGUUUGUCUCGAGUUGCUGAAUUUCAUUUCUACAACUUCAGACCUUUAUUUGAUUGAGUUCAUUCGAUUUCUACUAUCAGGUAUGGGAUCUUCAUCUGUUAUCCUUCAUUUCGAGUUUAGGAAUAAAAUCUGAGUUGUUCAUGUUCAGUUUGCGAUUGAUCUUCUAGAUAUGGUCUGUUUAGUUUCCAAAUCUACCUAAUUCUCCUUCGUUGAUUAAUAUCUGUGUCUAUAAAACAUAUUUCAAUUAAAUGUUAAGUAAUUAUUUAUUAAGUUGAUACGGUUUGUUGAAAGAAUCCACCUCCUAAAAUCCAUAUUCAUGUUUAAGGUGAGCUUACAAGAUUAAACUAAUUCCAUUUUUUUGUAUUUAGCUGUUUGAUUAAUGAUAGUUGUUUCCUUGUGAAUUGAGAAUCUGUUGGGGAAAUGAAAGCAUGCGGCCUAAGGAAAUCCAUUUUUCAUGAAAUUUAGGGUAACUAGGGCCUGAUCUAUUUGUGAAAAUGAGAAGAGUCCAUGACUCUUCAAGAUACUGGGCCAAGUGGGCUUGAAGUUGUUCAGCUUUUUUUGAAUAUUAUCUACAUGGGCCUGACCAGGUCCCAUGUGAUCAGAACUGAAUCUGUUGUGUAGUCUUGACCACAAUUGAAUAGCUUAAAUGCCUAUGACUCAAAGUCGUUUGUAAUUAACAUUUCCUGUUCCUCAUUAACUCUCCUUACGUGACGAUGACUAAUUUAGGAUAUAGAGAGUGAAAUACUUGUUGACUUCAUUGAUAAUUAGGGGAAGGUUUGGAUUUGGAUCAACAGAGCGUACAUGGGAAAUCGGUUACUGGCAGCCCGUUAGAGCAAAAUAAAGUAAUCAUAUUAGCUCAAUGAGGAUCAGCUACAAUCGUGAAAGUAUUUUUAUAAUCCCACAUAGGUAACAAAAGGUAUGGUUACGCUCAAACAGAUGAAUUCUAUAACUUUUGGCCUCACAAUAAUCUCAAAGAUUAGGAAAGUAGUUCAAAUGCGCUAGUUGCUUUAGGCACAAUUAAUAAAUAAAAUUAUUGUGACUAUGGGUACGGUUGCCUUGGUAUGGUCAUGAUACGUAAAUCCCAACUCAAGUGCGUAUUUCAUGCGACUUGAUCACAACUUCAAACAAUUAAAAUAAGCACAUUGUAAAUCACGAAUACGUUUCACGUGGCGUGAUUUGCGAUGUGUAUAAAGUAGCAAGUGCGCGACAUCACGACUUGUUCAAAUAAAUUCCAUAAUUGUUUAAAAUAAUUAAAAGCGGUAUAGAAGCGGUAACGCAUAAACGGUUUUAAACAUGUAAUAAUUCAUAUAAUUAAGCCAAAUAUUAAUUGUUAAGAGAAUUCUUUACCCGGUUUUCUAUGUUCACGGACCAUAAAUAGAGUCAAUUUUCUCGAUUUGGAAUUUUAAAAUAAACCGAUGAUUGGGACACCAUAAUAAUUAUUCCAAGUAUAGACUCUAAUUAAAUAAAUAAUCUCAUUUCGAAUAACGUCACUUUAAUUGGAAAACCUCCCUUAUCUUCGAAAAAAAGGAGGUGUGACAGCUCUGGCGACUCUACUGGGGAUUGAACCCAGAAUCUCUGGUUCAGGGUUUAGAAUUCGAAGAUGACUUUUAUACUUGGCUUUUGUUUAUUUUCUAAUCUUACGUGUUUCGCCUAAUAUGCUAAUUAUUGCUCUUUACCACUUUGAUAUUGUCGUGAACUGUAUAUAAAACUGUUACGACACCCUUCUUCUCUCUGAGUCUUCUAAAUCUUCUAGGAAGCGUGCGCUUCGCGUGGCUUCUUUUCUAUUAGAGUCAUACCUCAAAUUUUAGAACGAGGAUCGGACAAGUUGCAAAGCCGGUGAAACUUCUGUAUUUUCGGUACAAUGCCCCCUCCCCCCUCCCCCGGCUCGAGUUGUCCGCUCAGAUACACACCCCAGGAAUUAAACCUAGAAUAACAUAGCCUCAUGCCGGAUGCCUAGCAGGAAUAUUUGUUUGCAUCACGUGCAUUGACUUUGGGGACUCAACACAGGGGUUGAAUCCGUCUAGGACAGGUGUACCCAAUAUAAAAGACGUAUUUUACGUGCUACUUGUGCAUAUGUUUGUUUCGGCUUGCAUGUUAACUGACUUCUAGAAUAGGGAAAGAAAAUCAAGAAAAAAUCAAGAGUGAGGUAGGAGAGAGAAAAUUUACCCGGUUCUGAAAAAUCCAGGUAUUUGAAAAAUCCUAAAACUCUGCCGAAAUUUUGAAAAAAAAGGGAAAAAGAAAAGUCAUUUCAAAAUGAGCCAAUGUUUUCAAAAAGUCAUAUUUUUCUGUUGUGUCAACACUGACCGAACUACGCGGGUCUGAUUCUCACCGAAUGUGAGAUACGUAGGCAAACCUUAUCGGUUCUGGCCCCAAUAUUUAAAAAUCUAAAAAUAUUUUCCUUUAAUUCCUUCUUUAGAAGUCUUUUCUUAGAAAAUCCCAAAUAAAAAAAAAGAUUUUAAACCCAAAAUAUUUUUCGUUCUUUUUAGAAGUUUUUCAUUCGAGAAAAUAAAUAAAUAAAUCAAAUCAAAAUCCAAAAAUAUGUUUUUCUUUCUUUAGAAGUCUUUCUCCCAAAAAUUUAAAAAAUAAAAAAAAUAAAAUAAUUUUAAAUCAAAAUCCAAAAUAUUAUCUUUCUUCUUUAGAAGUCGUUCUUUUGGAAAUUCAAAAGCAAAAAUAUCAAAAUCCAAAAAUAUUUUUUUUUUGUUCUUUAGAAGUCUUUUCUUUCAAAAAUUCCCCAAAGAACAAAUCAAAAUCCAAGAAUAUUUUCUUUCUUCUUUAAAAAGCCUUAUUUUCAAAAACAUCCCAAAGAAUAAAUAAAAAAUAAAAAAUAAAAAAUAAAAAAAAGAGCUAGCUUAUAUACUUUAUUUCCCUAAACUACCUUAUAAUUUGAUUCAUACGGCGUCAUGAUAAAUAGGCAACUCCCAUCGGAUUCGAUCAUUGCCAUUAAAUAAACCGAGUGAAAGAAAAAAAGAGAAGAAAGAAAAAGAAAAAAAAAGUGUGACAAAAAUAACAGAGAAAAACAAAGAGCAAAAAACAACAAAAAGAGAAAGAAAAAGAAAUCAAGAUAUGAAAAAAAAUGAAUGAAAGGAAAGAGUUACAGAGUGGAAAAGAGCUAGUGAAAGAUGGGAUGAAGCACGUAACCGUUCAAACCCAUGGUAGAAACGUUUAACUAUUUAGGUGCAUUGCAUCCCUACGUACGAUUUUCUACAUGUUAAGAUGUUUCAAAUCUAACAAGGUUGUUGUGCGUGCAUUUAGCCAGGUUUUUUUCAGGUAGUUGGUUUUGUUGGUAAUCUUGCUUCUCACCCCUAUUUUUCAAGAUCCAAAGGAAAGGUUCCAAUGUCCUCAGAGAGCAAUCUCCGCAUUAUUAAUCCUAACGAUAGCCUUGAACCGGCUAUUCCACUGCCAGAAUCAGCAACUGCUUAAGAAAAUAGGAUGUUGCGUCUCCGCAUGUUCGAAAUGUGGGACGCCUGGUCUAAAGGUAGGGAACCACCGAUUGCAAUUCCUGGGUUCCCUGGGUUGAUCCCUAGGUCAAGUGAGGCCACCAACGUCAUUGUGCCCAACCUAUUCAUCCCGUGCGGAUACCCUCCAAUGCCAUCUAAUGGUCCUGGCAUGUUUUCUGUGGUUCACCCCCAGGCAUCGGAUUCAAGGGCACCUCCAACAAUGUUCUCUAUAGCACCAGUCUGCACCACAACACAAUCAACUAUACCAGAGCCAUAUGUUUAGCCUCUGACAUUCACCUUUGAGGGUCCACAGUUUCUACCAGAAAUGACAUAUGUGACCCCAUACUCAUUUACUCAACCUCCGCAAUGUGACUUCUCGGUUCGGCAAGAAAAGGUUGUCAAGAAUCCCGAGCUAGAGGAAAUGACUCGGAAGAUGAAGAGCUUGGAACAAAGCUUAAAAAACAUUCAAGGCUUAAGCGGCCAAAAGAGUGUCGCGUACUCUGAUCUGUGUAUGUUCCUUUAUAUGCGCUUGCUGGCAGGUUUCAAAAGUACGACAGUCAUGGAGACCCGAUCGCUCAUCUGAAAUGAUAUUGUAACCAGUUGAGGGGCAUUGGUGGAAAAGAGGAGUUGUUAAUGGCCUAUUUUGGAGAAAGUCUCACCGGAAUUGCUUCCGAAUGGUACAUGGAUCAAAAAAUUACCCAUUGGCAUGUGUGGGUCAAUUUGGCCCGAGAUUUUGUCUGUCAGUUCCAGUAUAAUGUGGACAUGGCUCCCGACAGAAACUUUUUGUCUAAUUUUAAAAAGAAAAUCACGAAAAUUUUUCGUGAAUAUGCUAUCAAAUGGCGCGAGCAAGCCGCCAGGGAGCCUCUAAUAGACGAAGCAGAAAUGGUAAGGGUCUUCCUACAGGCCCAAAAGGUGGAUUACUUCCAGAAUAUGAUGUCCGCUAUGGGCAAGCCAUUUUCUAAAGCUAUCAAGAUCGGGGAGGUGGUAGAGAACGGUCUGAAAACUGGCCGGAUAUUAAGUCAAGCCGCUUUGAAAACUAUAUCACAAGUCAUCCAGAAUGGCUCAGGGGUUUGUCCAAUCGCAAAAAGAGGGAGGAGGGAGCCAUGAUGGCUUCGAGUUCAAGAAGGCCUCACCGAUCAUUUGACCGCUCUUAUAUGCCACCAAGAACACCACAACACUAUUUCCCACAUCAAGAUGCAGCUUAUGCCGUGGCACCGCCUCACUAUGCGGUGAUGAAUGCCCAACCUAACACACGACCACAACAGCACUACAACCAAGCCCGAGCUCCACCUCCUAAAAAAAACCAUCUCUACCAAGCUCCAUAUAAUCCGCGCCCAUCACAAAAUGCACACCAACAUAACCAUGCCCUCAUGAGCCUCCCAGGAGAAGCAAUAUCACCCUUAUUGGUGAAUCUAACUCAAGUCUGCUUCAAAAGUUAAUCCAACUGGGUCUAUUGCAACCUGUACCUCCCAAUCGGCAAAAUCCUGAGUCCCCAUCAUACAGGGCUGGUACCAGAUGUGCUUACCAUUCAGGAGUAGAAGGCCAUGAUACAGAAGACUGUUGGACACUCAAAAGGGCGGUCGAAAGCUUGAUAGAAGAAAAAAGACUUGUGCUAAGGGAUGAAGAGAUCACUAAUGUGACUAACAAUCCAUUACCGGCUCACAAUAAUGGGUCAGUCAUUGGAAUGAUUAGUGAUGACAAAAAGUUUGAUCCAGCAUUGAAGGCUAUUGUUGCCAUCGCCAAUUCAGAGGCAAGACCUAAAGCGGCGGUGAAAUUGGCCAAAACCGAAAAGAAAGUUGCUCCGGUUCCUCAAGCUGUUGAAACAAAGACUGGGCGAGCACCUGCCAAAAACGUGGUUCUCUAUGUUCCUAAGGCCCCGAGAAAAGAACAACUUAUCCUCAACACUCCUAAGAAAUUCGAUGAAAGGAAGGCGACAUUGAGUGUGCCAAGAUUGUAUGUGCCAAAGGGGACCUAUGUGGCGCGUGGGCCAGUAAUUUCACCAAGGCUGACUGAGCCAGUGGUUAUCAGCCUCGCACCACAGAGCCCUAUGAAAUAUCCCACCGCAGUCCCUUGGAACUACAACAGAACCGUGGUUACAUACAAAGGGAAAAAGGUUAUGGGAGAAGUGAAUGAGAUGAAUCAGUCUGGGAAGUACCACACCCCAGAAGAGCUAAAGAAGUCCAAACUAAACAGGGAUAAACAGAUGCCGUCCAAGAAGCCUGUAAGUAAUGAGGAAGUAGAAGAGUUCUUCAGAAAGAUGACAACUUCAGAAUACUCAAUAGUUGACCAACUCCGAAAGACUCCUUCCCAAGUCUCACUCUUAUCUUUAUUGCUGAGUUUGAAUGAACACCAGAAAGUCCUCCUCAAAACACUGAAUGAGGCAUACGUCCCGGUUGAUACUUCUGUCGAACAACUGGAAAGAAUGGCCGAAAGAUUCUUUUAGGUCAAUAGGAUUUCCUUUAGCCGCGAUGAUUUGCCCCCAGAGGGAGCCGCCCACAAUAAAGCCCUCCACUUGACUGUCAAAUAUGAGGGCUAUUAUGUGAAAAGAGUGAUGUUAGAUGGUGGGUCCGGGGUCGAUAUUUGUCCUCUCUCAACACUCUAGAGAAUGGAGAUUGGAAUAGAAAGAAUCCGAGCUAACAAUGUCUGUGUACGAGCUUUUGAUGGUGUCAAGAGAGACAAUAGGAGAAAUUGAUCUAAUUCUGACCAUUGGCCCCGUAGAUUUUGAGGUGACCUUCCAGGUGUUGGACAUGGAAACCUCAUACAAUUUCCUCCUGGGUAGACCAUGGAUCCAUGCUGCUGGAGCCGUUCCCUGCGCUCUUCACCAAAUGGUCAAGGUUGAAUAUGAAAAUCAAGAGAUUGUUGUCCAUGGAGAAGAUGAGCAAUCCAUCUACCGGGACCCUUCAAUCCCGUGUCUUGAAGCUAGGGAAGGCAACGAGCAUAUUGUAUACCAAGCUUUCGAAAUUGUGGUCGCCGACCAAUUUGAAGAAGGGGCCCCAUUACGUCAACCUUGCUUGUCUAAUGCUUUGGUCAUGGUCGCCACCCAAAUGAUUUGAAAUGGGUACAAGCCCGGAAAGGGGCUCGGGGUAUCUUUGCAUGGCAUCACUGAGCCUAUUAUCCCAAUCGCCAAUGAGAAGUGUUUUGGUAUGGGUUUCCGAGCUUCAGAGGCCAACAGAACAUGGGCUAAUAAGUGCAAAUAAAAUGGGUGGGUCCUGUCCCAGCCCAUUCCACAUCUCGCCCAAUCAUUUGUCAAACCAAAGUAUGUGGAAGAAGAAGAAGAGGCCUUCACGACUGAGGAAAUUGAUGAUAUUUGUGAAGCCUUGAAACAAAUGCUAUAUGAGUCCCACAUGGUCCAGCCAGGGGAAGACACGAGCAAUGCCGAGGUGCAGUAUAUGGGGCCGGAUUUCAAGCUCUAGACCUGGGAGGCUACCCCAUUCCCGGUCAGGCAGGAGUGUCGGUAGUUCAGUUUUGCCAUCUCUUCUACAUUACGAGUUAUUUCAGGGUGUAACUCGAAUGUUUUACUGUAUUGUCUUUUAUUCUGAUGUAAACCCUCAUAUCUUCAAUUCAAUGAAAUGAAAUCAAUAUUUCAUCGUCCAUAAAUGUCUCUUUUCUUUUGUUCUGAUUUUGCUAUUUUUCUUAUCUUUUUCUUUUCAGUUCUUAUAAUGCAGACUUAAAUAAGAUGACAUCCUUGCGAACUUCAUGCCCAAAUCCUAAAAUGCUGUCUAACUUUGAAAUAAUGAAUCAAGAGCCAGAAUAUGAUGAAGAUGAGGUUUUUAGGGAAAUAAAUCUAGAAUUGGAAUAAUUUGAGAAUAAGCCUAAGCCAAACUUAAAUGACACCGAGCCAGUUAAUUUGGGCAGUUCAGAAGAGAUCCGAGAAACCAUGAUAAGCAUUCACACUGAUGAAAGAACCAGGGACGCCUUGAUCCAACUUUUGUUUGAAUUCAAAGACGUGUUCGCAUGGUCUUAUGAUGAUAUGCCAAGACUGAGCGUUGAUUUGGCGGUACAUAAAUUGCCUACCUAUCCCGGUUAUCCACCUGUCUAAUAGAAGCAAAGAUAGUUCAAAACAGACAUUAGUGAUAAGAUCAAGGAAGAAGUCACGAAACAACUGAAAGCUAGUGUGAUCCGAGUAGUCAGAUACACCACGUGGCUGGCUAAUGUGGUCCCAGUGGCGAAGAAAGAUGAAAAAAGCCAAGUGUGUGUUGAUUAUCGGGAUUUGAACAAGGCGAGUCCCAAGGACAACUUUCCAUUGCAAAACAUCCACACUCUUGUUGAUAACUGUUCUAAACAUGAGAUACAGUCUUUCGUGGAUUGUUAUGCUGGGUAUCACCAGGUUCUGAUGGAUAAAGAAGAUGCCGAAAAGACUGCUUUCACCAUACCUUGGGGCACUUACUAUUACAAGGUCAUGCCAGUUGGUUUGAAAAAUGCCGGGGCAACCUACAUGAGAGCUAUGACUGCCAUCUUCCAUGACAUGAUGCACUAUGAAAUAGGGGUAUAUGUGGAUGAUGUGUUCAUUAAAUCCAGAACGCAAGAGGACCAUGUGCGAGAUCUGAGGAAGUUCUUUGAGCGACUGUGCAUGUAUGAUUUGAAAUUGAACCCAACUAAAUGUGCAUUCGGGGUUCCGUCUGGGAAACUUAUGGGGUUUAUAGUCAGUCGGAGGGGUAUCGAAUUAGAUACAACAAAAAUUAAGUCUAUUCAGGAUUUGCCCCCUCCAAGGACCAAGAAAGAAGUCAUGAGUCUGCUAGGGAGGCUGGAUUACAUCAGCAGAUUCAUCGCUCAGCUUCCUACCACUUAUGAGCCCAUAUUCAAGCUGUUAAAGAAAGACGCGGCAAUUAAAUGGACUGAUGAGUGUCAAGAAGCUUUUGAUAAAAUCAAAGAAUAUCUGUCAAAUCCGUCAGUGUUGGUUCCACCCGAGCCGGGAAGACCUUUGUUCUUAAAUCUAACAGUCAUGGAGAAUUCUUUUGGCUGUGUCCUGGGGCAACACGAUGUGACCGGAAAGAGAGAACAAGCCAUAUACUAUCUGAGUAAGAAGUUCACCAGUUAUGAAGCCAAAUACAUUUUGUUGGAAAGAACUUGUUGCGCCCUAACUUGGGUCGCCCAAAAGCUCAAACAUUACUUGUUGGAUUAUACAACAUAUCUCAUAACCAGGAUGGAUCCUUUGAAGUAUAUAUUCCAGAAGCCAAUGCCCACUGGAAGGUUAGAUAAUUGGCAGAUCCUUCUCACAGAGUUUAACAUUGUCUAUGUCACCUGCACGACAAUGAAAGCCCAAGCCAUGGCACUUCAUCUAGCUCAGCAUCCGGUCGAUGAUGAAUACCAACCCCUAAGCACUUACUUUUCGGACGAGGAAGUAAACUCAGUUGAAGUAGUUCCAGAGAACACCAAUGCGUGGAAAAUGUUCUUUGAUGGGGCUAUAAAUGCAAAGGGCGUGGGGAUCAGGGCAAUUCUGAUUUCGUCCACAUGUCAACACUAUCUGGCCAAAGCCCGGCUCUGGUUCUUCUGUACAAACAAAACCACUGAAUAUGAAGUUUGCAUCAUGGGCAUGAAUAUGGUAAUUGAUCAGGAUGUGGAGCACCAAUUGUGCGGUCGAUUUGUGGAUCGCAUAAGUGUUAUGCGGUUGCAUAUGCGACCGCAGAUCUUCGUCAGGGCUUCAUUUUUCUAAUUUUAUAACUUGACACCCAUUUCAUUUAUCUAGCCUAAGGGUUUAUUUUUAGGGGAUUACCUGAUGUUUUAGAGAGAGUAGAGAUCUAUUCUAGAGAGAGGAAAGGGAGGGAUAAGGAUUUUACUACUCAACUUGAGUCAAGCCUUGAAAUCUCAUCAAGAGGGACUUGUUAGGGCUUCAAAAAAGCAAGAAUUGCUUCUCCCAAUUAUUCAAUUUCGGAUUUUGGGUAAUAGGGAGUGUGAUUCUUGUAUGAGAGAGUAUUAUUAUACAUGCAUGUACCAACGAUAUGUAUGGGAAGGUUGUUGGGCUCAAAUGGGUAACGAUUGGGUUGUGGGAUGAAGGAAUCUACCAUAAAAGACCCUUGAAAUCAUGAUGCACACCUAGUGUUUGAUCAAAUGCUUAAAUGAGGUGAACCCACAGAUAUCUUCCUAAUUAUGGUUCAAUUUUGUUAUGUUUCUAAAUAAAUUGAGGUUGCUAGAGUUUUCAGAACAUUGUAGUAAUUUAAGGAAGUUCAAAGCAAGGUAUGUUGGCUAAACUCUUCUCUUAGAAUUGAACCCCACAUUACCCUUGUAAGUUCCGAGUUGAUCAUCAUAAAUCAAUUAUUCUGAAUAAGCUUUGUGGCAAAGAUAUAUGUUCAAUGUGUUUCAAAUGCUCUUAUUAUGUUGUGCUAAUAAUUGAGGAUGUGUUCAAAGUAUAGAUUGUGUGUCUUCAUGUUAUAACUCCAAGUCGUGUUUCAAAUGAAAGUUAUUAUGCCAAAUUGUGUAAAGAUUGUGAUUGGGAUUACACCUCCACCCGCAUAUAUAUUGGGGUGAGGCGGGAGGGCCGCUUUGUGUAGGAUUCUGGUAUUGUUGUUACACCACCACCCGCAUACAUUGGGGUGAGUCGGCGUGGCUGCUUUGUGUAGAGUUGUGGUAUUGUGAGUAUACCUCCACUCACAUACAUUGGGGUAAGGCGGCAGGGCCUCUUUGUGUAGUAUUGUGAAUGCACCUCCACCCGCAUACCUUGGGAUGAGGCGGCAAGGACACUCUGUGUAAAGAUAGUUGUAGAGGAUCCCCGACUUGAAAUUUAUAAUGUUAUUGGAAGUUCUUAAUAACAUCUGUUUUGACUUGUAUGCCUAUCUAAGCCCUAUUAUUGUUACCAUGAUUCAUCAUAUUCAUGUUGUAUUUCCAAGUCCUUGAAUAAAUGUUUUGAUUUUUAUACUAGUACUAUUCGACAUGUACUAACGUCCCUUUUUGCCGGGGGUGCUUCAUCUUUAAUGGAUGCAGGUGGUUCCACGGCGGGAGGCAUUUAUAAGUGAUAGAGGUAUACUUUUUUCCAGCUGACUUGGUGAGCCCCACUUCAUUUGGGGUUGUGCAUCUUUUGUUACGCGUGUAUUAUGUUUUGAGGUAUAGCCGGAACCUUGUUGCCGGCACUAACAUUGUAUUCUUUUAUAUCUAUUAGAAGCUCCGUAGACAUAGUGUGGGUUGUGUAUUAGUGUGGGAAAGAUAUACUAAAGAUGUCAUAAUUGUAUCUCAUGCUUCCACUGUAAAACUAUGGUUGUGAAAUGUAUUGCUUUGGAGACUUAUAAAUGAAGUAACUAAUGGUGAUGGAACUAGUGUUCCCUCGUAGUAUUAAUUAAUGAA
rnacentral:lncRNA from 1 species